rnacentral:lncRNA from 1 species
GCGAGACUCCGUGGGCGUAGGACCCUCCGAGCCAGGUGCCGGAUAUAAUCUCGUGGUGCGCCGUUUUUUUAAGCCCGCCGGAAAAGCGCAGUAUUCGGGUGGGAGUGACCCGAUUUUCCAGGUGCCGUCCGUCACCCCUUUCUUUGACUCGGAAAGGGAACUCCCUGACCCCUUGCGCUUUCUGAGUGAGGCAGUGCCUCGCCCUGCUUCGGCUCGCACACGGUGCGCGCACCCACUGACCUGCGCCCACUGUCUGGCACUCCCUAUGAACCCGGUACCUCAGAUGGAAAUGCAGAAAUCACCCGUCUUCUGCGUCGCUCACGGUGGGAGCUGUAGACUGGAGCUGUUCCUAUUCGGCCAUCUUGGCUCCUCCGCAUUUGUUUUUAUGGUGGUUUUGUAUUGUUUUUAUAGAGCUGCCCUCACAUGCUUCAGCAACAUUAGAUGAUAGUGCUAUACUUCCACUAAGACUUUGACUAUGUUCUAGCAACAGAGCCCAAGUAUGUAGUCCUGACCAUGGCAGAGUUAUAUGGAACAGUUACACUGUCAGUUUCUUAAUGUACAUUUUAUGUUCCUUAUGCAAAAAUAAUAAUAACCUAUUUGUCUUUUAUUAGCCAUAAUCUCUUUCUAUUUUUAGAAGAUAGCAAAAUGACUUGCUCAUCUCAAAUUAGCAGAAAAUUGUUUUACAUAUUUUCUUCAAAGAAACAAGAACGAAAACAAACUUAGCUGUAAAUUAUCUCCCAUGAGCUGUCUUCAUUUGUUCAAAGGGUAGAGAAGGAAAUGACAGUGAGAAAGCUAGCAUGUAUGAAGCAUUUAUUAUGUGCCAGCGACUGUGUUAGGUAAUUAGUAUUCAAAGUGGUUCCUUUCAGGGUCACCACAUCUCAUAUAACAGUGCUCCAGACAAAUUCUACAAUAUCACAUACUGUGGAUUAAAAGAGUGAGCUUCAUAAACUUUUUUUUGUGCUAAGAACUCUUAAAAUCUGUUCACAGGAUCAAGAGAAGAGGGCUUUCAGAUUCCCAGUCUGGGCUUUGUCCCCAGAUAGAGGCGGGCUGGAGCUCAGGCCCCGUACCCUGUCUCUUCCUCUUGUUCUGUCUUCCUGUAGGAUAAGCAUGAUAAAGCAUACUGUUUCUGGAGACUGGAAAGUCCAAGAUCAUGGUGCCUGAGGAUUCAGUGUCUGGUGUGGACCCUAUUUAAUGUGGGAGAGGAAUACAUAAAAAGGUGGAUAUCAUGAGGUGAAAAUCAUUGGAGACCAUCUUGGAAGCUGUCUAACGCAACAAGAAUUAUUUUAUUUAUGAUUUAUUUGAAGUCUUUUUUUAUUUAUAAUCUGUUUUACUUGGAAUGAUUGGUUAUCAGACUCAGCACGUUUUCAAAUCUGUAUAACAGAUGCUAUCUUGUUUGUCAUUAGGUAAGUUCACCUGAAACCCUCAGGCAAGCCUUUCAGAACUAAUGCCUGUUGUAAUUCCCUUAUUUCUUAUGUGAUUUAAAUUGUGAAAAGCCCAUAUUUCUUUUGAAAAAUCAUUGCUUGUCUUUUGUCUCUGAUGUUAGCAUGUUUUCAGGCAAUGUUUUUGAAGUUAAAUAUAUUUGUUGUUUAGAGAUGACUUUUCUCUGCCCUUUUAUUUUACAUACAAGGGUACUAGUAUCCAGAGAGGUCAAGUGGCUAAGGAUGCAAAAUUUGUAAUAAAAUUUAGGUUUUCUGAAUCUUAAGUUACAGGAGAAGAAGAAAAGAUCAACAGACAUAAAAUUUCAGAAUGAUUGACAGUCUUUAAAAUUGUAUGUAUGAAUACUAAUGUUUCUAAAUUUUGGUAAGAAAUGUUCUGUGUAAAUGGAUCACUGGA